UAGUCAUAUGGAUUUUUGAAUUCCGGUUGAUCCUGCCGGAGAUUACUGCUAUUCGGGUUUGACUAAGCCAUGUUAGUCUUGGGUGCUUGCAUCCAGGGCGUACAGCUCAGUAACACGUAGUCAACCUACCCUCGAGUCUAGAAUAAUCCCGGGAAACUGGGGCUAAUGCUGGAUAGAUGAGAGAUACUGGAAUGUUCUUUCGUCCAAAGAUACGCUCGAGGAUGGGACUGCGGUUGAUUAGAUUGAUGCCGGGGUAAAUUCCCGACAUGUCGAUAAUCAAUACGGGCCUUGAGAGAGGAAGCCCGGAGAUGGAUUCUGAGACAAGAAUCCAGGUCCCACGGGACGCAUCAGGCGCGAAAAUUCCACAAUGCGCGAAAGCGUUAUGGAGAAACCCGAAGUGGCUUCGCUAAGCGGAGUCUUUUGUCAAAUGUAAAAAGUUUGGAGAAUAAGGGGUGGGUAAGACGGGUGCCAGCCGCCGCUGGCAUACCCGCGCCCCGAGUAGUAAUCAUGUUCAUUGCGUAUACAGCGCCCCUAGCCGGUUUGUUUCCUUCUAACCCCAUCCUCCCGCCUGCUCCCUCCCAUUGCUGAGAUCCCCCCCCAAACUCCUGUACUUCUUCAGCCUUUGCGACCUUACCUCCCUUUAAGACUUGCUCUUUAACUUCCCUCCCGCACCCAAACUGGAUCUGGCCCCCCUUCCCAACUCUUUUCCACCUGCCCUUUUUCUUCCCUUGCCCAACCCCUUUUCUCCCAUCCCCGUACUCCCCUCCUAGUGUUUUCCUCCCCUCCCCAGUUACACCCCCUCUCUACCUUAGAGUCCCUUCUCUCCACCCCGGGUCCCCUCUUAUCAUUCUCAU
rnacentral:rRNA from 1 species